rnacentral:piRNA from 1 species
GACCAAAGAGGCAUGGUGAUCGGUAA